UUCGCGUUCUCUGCUAAGGUUUACGCCCAUCCUCCGCCGUACCCGGCCUUAGCCUCGGCGCCCCCGCCGCCACACUCGCCGGACCUGCUUCCCGAGGUUGGGGGAUGUUGAGCGCAGCACGGAGGACCCUGGCCUGCCGACCUGGUCGGAUCAAGGUCCGGAAGGCCACAUUGGCCGCAUGCGCAGUGAAAGGAGCCGGAACCUGUGAGGGCCGCGCCCUGCUCCCCCCUCGGUCCGCAGGGCCUUGUGCUCCGGUGUGACGGUCUCCAGAGUGUCCCAGUAGAUGAAUUGGUGAUAAGUCCUGAUGUACAGGAUUUAGCUGUGCCAGAUUGAAGAUUCCAGGAUGACUGAAGUUGACCGUUCUGGUGAGUGAAGACUGGGGUCAUGACAGUGAUGGAACACAGCAGCCUCAGGACCUGGUUGCCCCCACGUUUUACUGGCAGUGCCUGAUACUGAAGUAUCUGAAAAGACCAGCUUGUUGCUGGAGCCAUGCUUUAGAAUAAGAUCUGUUACCAGUAAAGCUGCCGCCUUCUGCGAUUGUGGAUCUACAGAGUUGGGAGAGAAACACUACAGGAAGAGGCAAAUGAAGAGACAAGGGGCUCUUUGAGGUGGAAACACCUUUUUUUCUUUCUGAUGCUGGUACCUGGCAUACAAGUGACCAAUAAAAGAUUCCUGGAUGUA